rnacentral:rRNA from 1 species
GAUGAACGCUGGCGGCGUGCCUAAUACAUGCAAGUCGAGCGAACAGACGAGGAGCUUGCUCCUCUGACGUUAGCGGCGGACGGGUGAGUAACACGUGGAUAACCUACCUAUAAGACUGGGAUAACUUCGGGAAACCGGAGCUAAUACCGGAGAAUAUAUUGAACCGCAUGGUUGAAUAGUGAAAGACGGUUGUGCUGUCACUUAUAGAUGGAUCCGCGCCGCAUUAGCUAGUUGGUAAGGUAACGGCUUACCAAGGGAACGAUGCGUAGCCGACCUGAGAGGGUGAUCGGCCACCCUGGAACUGAGACACGGUCCAGACUCCUGCGGGAGGCCGCAGUAGGGAAUCUUCCGCAAUGGGCGAAAGCCUUGCGGAGCAACGCCGCGUGAGUGAUGAAGGUCUUCGGAUCGUAAAGCUCUGUUAUUAGGGAAGAACAACUGUGUAAGUAACUAUGCACGUCUUGACGGUACCUAAUCAGAAAGCCACGGCUAACUACGUG